GACGAACGCUGGCGGCGUGCCUAAUACAUGCAAGUAGAACGCUGAAGAGAGGAGCUUGCUCUUCUUGGAUGAGUUGCGAACGGGUGAGUAAAGCGUAGGUAACCUGCCUUGUAGCGGGGGAUAACUAUUGGAAACGAUAGCUAAUACCGCAUAACAAUGGAUGACACAUGUCAUUUAUUUGAAAGGGGCAAUUGCUCCACUACAAGAUGGACCUGCGUUGUAUUAGCUAGUAGGUGAGGUAAUGGCUCACCUAGGCGACGAUACAUAGCCGACCUGAGAGGGUGAUCGGCCACACUGGGACUGAGACACGGCCCAGACUCCUACGGGCGGCCGCAGUAGGGAGUCUUCGGAAAUGGGGGCAACUCUGACCGAGCAACGCCGCGUGAGUGAAGAAGGUUUUCGGUUCGUAUAGCUCUGUUGUAAGCCAAGAGCAGGUGUGAGAGUGGAAAGUUCACACUGUGACGGUAGCUUACCAGAAAGGGACGGCUAACUACGUG
rnacentral:rRNA from 1 species